UGAAUCUUUAUAGGGUUUUGUUUGUGUUUGAGAAUCAGCAGCAAAUGGUUCAAUGGCGUUUCAUUUACAUCUGAUUGUCUGUUCACGGUUAUUCAGUCAGCAACUCAGUUCAUUUACAAGACAUUUGUAUUUUCUACUUGUCAUAGCAUGCAUUAUUGUUCAGCGUAACACUUGAAAUAUUGCUCGAAAUAAUUUUUCGGAUCUACAGACAGACCGGUCAAAUCGUUUCUCAACUGUGCAUCAAAUUAGCGGAUGAAAAAU
rnacentral:lncRNA from 1 species